UAGCAUCAGUGUCAGAUUGUGAUGAUGA
rnacentral:piRNA from 1 species